AGCUGGACAGGACUUAGCGACUAAACAACAGCAAGGACAGGAUACUGUGAGGACAUUAAGGUGGGAGGGGCCAAUUCUGCUGUGGGGGAGGGGUGUCCAGGCAGGGAAGGUGUCAUGGAGGAGGUGAUGCUUCAAGUUACUGAGGUUUUGAGGUUCACCAAGAAGAUGUGGAGGAGGGGUGCUUCCCACACCCGCUGUGCUCCAGACACAGCAGGGCGGCUGGCAAGGACUGAGCCUAGCGACGUAGUCCUAGCCUGGAGGACCUCUCCCACCAUACUCAGCAAGUGCGUGGGGGUUUGUCCUUUGUAAGGGAAUGGGUGUUUGGUUAUCCAGGUAGAAAAUAUCAAAUAUCUGCUAGGUAGCAGGCACUGCUGUAGGCACUGGGAACGCUGUGGACAAGACACAAGCUUUAUGAGGCAACAAGGGUCCAGCCAGAACCCUUGCAGUGAAGAUGGCACCUUUCUCAAGCCAUACAGCUCCAGUUUCAGUUUCCUCACUUGUAAAAAGGGUUAAGAAUUCCUCCUCACCGUCACUGUUAUAGGAUCUGACUUCGAGUUUAACAUUCACAGUGUUAGAACAGCACCUGGAACAUAGUAGAUGCUUAUAAACAAGUUUGUAAAGUAAACUGAGCUUGCAGUUAGUUGGGAGGCCCAUAGCAAACUUAUUAGAUAAAGCCUAUAAAGAAAAUAGGAAAGCUUCUGUGAGGUGACAUUGGAGUUAAGACUGUAUGACAGAAAGGAACAUUCCAGGGAGAGACAACAACUUGACCAGAGCCCUCAGUAGAAACGGGCUUUGGUAUGUUCAAAAAAGCAGGCCAGAGUGGCUGAGGUGGCGAGGCCAGUCACGCAAAGCUGAGAGUGUCCUCCCAAGGCGGGGGCAACCCACGAUGGUCAUGAAAGCAGGGGAAUGACAAGGUGAAAAUUAGGUUUCAGAAAGAACUCUGAAGUGGGAAAUCCAGGUGGGUCAAGAGAUGGGGUCAAGUCUGAGAGGCUCUGUAAAGACUGUGGUGGAGAGCAGUCUGCACCCAAUUUGGAGAUCCAAGAAUCAGCAGCACCAGGUUAAUCUCAUGAAAGGAACAAGAUGGUCCAUGGAAAGUGUAGAAGAGUCUGGAACUCCAUGGAAAGCUCCAUCCGGAACCCAGUGCGGGCGCUCUGUUACCGCUCGAAGAGUGAAUGGGUAUAGGACGCAGCCCUCAGGGGAAGAGGAGCCUGUGAAAACAGCUGAGAAGGAAAGAUCAGAGAGGUAGGACAGAGAGGAUGAAAGCAGUGUGGAGGAGCAUGUCAGCCGGAGGGAGGAGUCGAGGGGUGAAAUGAGACAGGAGGAGCAGCCCUGGGUGAGGAGCCACUGUGAUGUCACUGGCGACCGCUGCCAGCAGCGUCAGCGCAGCUGGGGGCGGCAACAUCACAACACACCCAGCCGAGAGUGACUGGGAAGUAAGAAAAGGGGCGCCUACACCCUUCUUUCAAGAAGCAGGCUGUGAAGAGAGGAGCAGAGGAAAGAAACAUGCUUGUGUGUAGCCUACAAGAAGAUGCCAGGAGAGAUAAAGGCCUUGAAAAUGGAACCUGGAAAUACGGAUAAGGGAUGGAGCAGAAGGUACUCAGUGGGGGACAGGCAGGGUGGCCAACUGGCCCCGAGAGAAGUGCCCGCUGAUAGAAGACACACCUUCCUCUGAUCCCGGAGAGAGGUCGUCAGGGAGAUCAUUGGCGGUAUGGCAGCAAGAGGCAGGGCAAGACAGAUAAGAUGGGUGUAAUUCACACAUACUUGUGAAAUUCAAGUUCCCAACUGCAACGGAGACUCAAAUGAACCCACAGGAGACCUCCUGAAGUUUAAACAAACAGACACUGGCUUCAGACAAUGGAGAGGGUCUCAUCCAGGAUACCACACGUUUGGCUUGCUUUUUUUUGGCCACGCUGUGCGCUUUGCAGUUUAUGGGAUCAUAGUUCCCUGACCAGGGACUGAACCUGGGUC